rnacentral:rRNA from 1 species
UACGUAGGGGGCAAGCGUUGUCCGGAAUCAUUGGGCGUGAAAGCAGCGUGUAGGCGGCUCGAUAAGUCUGACGUGUCGAAAAGUCCAGGGCUCAACCCUGGGAAUGCCGGUGGAUACGUGUCGAGCUCGAGUGCCGGAAGAGGCGAGUGGAAUUCCUGGUGUAGACGGUGAAAUGCGCAGAUAUAGGAGGAACACCAAUGGCGAAGGCAGCUCGCUGGGACGUGACUGACGCUGAGACGCGAAAGCGUGGGGAGCAAACACGG